rnacentral:rRNA from 1 species
CUUACACAUGCAAGUCGAACGAUGACCUCCAGCUUGCUGGGGUGAUUAGUGGCGAACGGGUGAGUAACACGUGAGUAACCUGCCCUUCACUCUGGGAUAAGCACUGGAAACGGUGUCUAAUACCGGAUACGAGCUUCCGCCGCAUGGUGAGGAGCUGGAAAGAAUUUUGGUGGGGGAUGGACUCGCGGCCUAUCAGGUAGUUGGUGAGGUAAUGGCUCACCAAGCCAACGACGGGUAGCCGGCCUGAGAGGGUGACCGGCCACACUGGGACUGAGACACGGCCCAAACUCCUACGGGAGGCAGCAGUGGGGAAUAUUGCACAAUGGGCGAAAGCCUGAUGCACCACCGCCGCGUGAGGGACGACGGCCUUCGGGUUGUAAACCUCUUUUAGUAGGGAAAAAGCGAAAGUGACGGUACCUGCAAAAAAAGCACCGGCUAACUACGUGCCAGCAGCCGCGGUAAUACGUAGGGUGCAAGCGUUGUCCGGAAUUAUUGGGCGUAAAGAGCUCGUAGGCGGUUUGUCGCGUCUGCUGUGAAAUCCGGAGGCUCAACCUCCGGCCUGCAGUGGGUACGGGCAGACUAGAGUGCGGUAGGGGAGAUUGGAAUUCCUGGUGUAGCGGUGGAAUGCGCAGAUAUCAGGAGGAACACCAAUGGCGAAGG